CCUACGGGGGGCUGCAGUGGGGAAUAUUGGACAAUGGGGGGAACCCUGAUCCAGCCAUGCCGCGUGUGUGAAGAAGGCCCUCGGGUUGUAAAGCACUUUCAGUGAGGAAGAACGCCUGGUGGUUAAUACCCAUCAGGAAAGACAUCACUCACAGAAGAAGCACCGGCUAACUCCGAGCCAGCAGCCGCGGUAAUACGGAGGGUGCGAGCGUUAAUCGGAAUUACUGGGCGUAAAGCGCGCGUAGGUGGCUUGAUAAGCCGGUUGUGAAAGCCCCGGGCUCAACCUGGGAACGGCAUCCGGAACUGUCAAGCUAGAGUGCAGGAGAGGAAGGUAGAAUUCCCGGUGUAGCGGUGAAAUGCGUAGAGAUCGGGAGGAAUACCAGUGGCGAAGGCGGCCUUCUGGACUGACACUGACACUGAGGUGCGAAAGCGUGGGUAGCAAACAGGAUUAGAUACCCCGGUAGUC
rnacentral:rRNA from 1 species